ACGAACGCUGGCGGCGUGCUUAACACAUGCAAGUCGAACGGUGAAGCGCCUUCCUUUUUGGUGGGUGUGGAUGAGUGGCGAACGGGUGAGUAACACGUGAGUAACCUGCCCCCUUCUUCUGGAUAACCGCAUGAAGGUGUGGCUAAUACGGGAUAUUCUGGGUCUGUCGCAUGAUGGGUCUGGGAAAGAUAUUGUUUUGGUGGGGGAUGGGCUCGCGGCCUAUCAGCUUGUUGGUGGGGUGAUGGCCUACCAAGGCGGUGACGGGUAGCCGGCCUGAGAGGGUGGACGGUCACACUGGGACUGAGACACGGCCCAGACUCCUACGGGAGGCAGCAGUGGGGAAUAUUGCACAAUGGGCGCAAGCCUGAUGCAGCGACGCCGCGUGAGGGAUGGAGGCCUUCGGGUUGUGAACCUCUUUCGCCAGUGAAGCAGGCCUGCCUCGUUUGUGGGUGGGUUGAUGGUAGCUGGAUAAGAAGCGCCGGCUAACUACGUG
rnacentral:rRNA from 1 species